rnacentral:rRNA from 1 species
CCUACGGGCGGCAGCAGUGGGGAAUAUUGGACAAUGGGCGAAAGCCUGAUCCAGCCAUGCCGCGUGUGUGAAGAAGGCCUUCGGGUUGUAAAGCACUUUCAGUGGGGAAGAAAGCCUUGGGGCUAAUACCCUCGAGGAAGGACAUCACCCACAGAAGAAGCACCGGCUAACUCCGUGCCAGCAGCCGCGGUAAUACGGAGGGUGCGAGCGUUAAUCGGAAUUACUGGGCGUAAAGCGCGCGUAGGCGGUCUGAUAAGCCGGUUGUGAAAGCCCCGGGCUCAACCUGGGAACGGCAUCCGGAACUGGCAGGCGAGAGUGCAGGAGAGGAAGGUAGAAUUCCCGGUGUAGCGGUGAAAUGCGUAGAGAUCGGGAGGAAUACCAGUGGCGAAGGCGGCCUUCUGGACUGACACUGACGCUGAGGUGCGAAAGCGUGGGUAGCAAACAGGAUUAGAUACCCGUGUAGUC